CAAAAUAUAUGUUAAGUGGAAAAGGAUGUGGCGUUGCCCAGACAACUAGGAUGUUGGCUUAGAAGCAGCCAUCAUUUAAAGAGUGCGUAAUAGCUCACUAGUCGAGUGACACUGCGCCGAAAAUGUACCGGGGCUAAACAUAUUACCGAAGCUGUGGAUUGUCCUUUGGACAAUGGUAGGAGAGCGUUCUAAGGGCGUUGAAGCAUGAUCGUAAGGACAUGUGGAGCGCUUAGAAGUGAGAAUGCCGGUGUGAGUAGCGAAAGACGGGUGAGAAUCCCGUCCACCGAUUGACUAAGGUUUCCAGAGGAAGGCUCGUCCGCUCUGGGUUAGUCGGGUCCUAAGCUGAGGCCGACAGGCGUAGGCGAUGGAUAACAGGUUGAUAUUCCUGUACCACCUAUAAUCGUUUUA
rnacentral:rRNA from 1 species